rnacentral:lncRNA from 1 species
CAGAUAUUCUGUACCAUCACAGCAAGCCAUGCCAUUCCAUGGGCCAUGUCAAAAUGUGACCGUCACCAAUUGACGUGAUGUUAUUAAUUGUAGGACGAGGCUGCGUCCUUUCCUCAUCCUGUUAAUGCAUAUGUGCGCCUGACAUCACUGGUGUUUGCAGCAGUUGGCUGUCGGUAGAGUUUACGAUCUAAAAGCCACAAAAUAAACUCUAAUCAACAUGGAGGCCUAUGCACCUAUUUGACCACAGCUGCUCCAGUGCGGAACCCACACUGCUCACAGCUUGGUUUGGCUUAACCUCUUCACCCCCACUUUACCAAAGUGCAUUUUCUACAGUUUGGCUUUACCCAAAUCUAAAAGCUUCAAAACAACAAAAACGCUGCCUAGAGGCUGUAAGUGUUUAGAUUUGGGUAAAGCUGAACUGGAGGAAAUGCACUUUGGUAAAGUGGGGGUGAAGAGGAUGAAGCACUAAAGGUUUAAAGGCUAAUCUAAAUCUAAAACGUUACAGAAUCAUUUUGGUGUUUUUUCUGUAAAUGAUCUGGUUCCUCUUUUCCACAGAGGACGCGGCUCUGAGACGAGACACGAGAGACAAACUGGUUAAAAUGGAAGACUCCGCCCCCAAAGGAGCCUCUGCAGAGAAACGCCACCUCUGUGACCAGUGUGGGAAGGCGGCCCAUCACCUGACUGCCCACAUGAGGGUUCACACAGGAGACCAGUGUGGGAUGUGGUUUAAACAGAAACAGCACUCUGUCAUCCACACGGGAGAAUGGGACCACAGCUACGUCAAGUGUGAGAAAACAUCCAGGCAGAGCAAGAGGAACCUUUUCUGUGACCAGUGUUUCCAAAGAGACUCUGAAGCAGCACCAGAGGCUCCACACCGGGGAAAACAUCUUCCCCUGUGACCAGUGUGGGAAAGUCUUCAGUCAUAAAGACACGUUACAGCAGCACAAACGUCUGCACUCGGGACACGAUCUGUUCUACUGUGAGACGUGUGGGAAAAGAUUUACGAGUCAAAACCAGCUGCAGAGACACAAAACCUCCCACUGGACGGGCGGACCGCGCUCUGAAGAGUUUAUAUUUACUCUGUAGUUCAUCGCCAGGUCAGCUUUACCCAAAUCUAACACGUGACGUCUCCUCCUUCUCCGUAACUAUGGUAACGGUCUUUAUGCAGAGUCUUAGUUUGUCAUUUCUCUGUAAGUCGUGUCUUCAGCUCAGAUGAACUAUGGUCUCAUUAUUUCCUCAUAAAGUGGAGACGAUCUUCAGAAACAUGAGCGUGAUGUUGGUCAGUAGAAGAAGAAGAAUCCAGUCACUAAUGUUACCUCUAUAUAAUAUGAUAGGCCUUUAGAACGCUGUGAUGUGACUGAAACCCAGCAAUAGACUCCACUGAAACUCAAUUCUACAACAUCAACCUUUUCAUAAACAAAAAGUUAGGCUCACCUUUGUAGGUCUUAGCUUUCAAAUGAGGCUCUGUUGCUCUCCAGUGGAAGCUUUUAGAUUUGGGUAAAGCUGGAGGAAAUGCGCUCGGUUACGGUGGGGGUUAAACAAAUCCUUUUCCAGAGACUUUUAAUAUAAACGACUCAAAUGUUUGUCACACAUUUGUGAAACGGCUCUUAUUGGUUUCCUGCCUUAACCUCUUCACCUCCACCAGCUUUACCCAAAUCUAAAAGCUUCUGGAGUUUACAGCCUGUAGGCCAGAGUCACGCCUCAUUUGAAAGCUAAGACCCACUAAACUGAUCAAACCUUUUGUGUUUUUGUAGCUUUUGUCACUUUUCCGGCACGUUUACUGUAAACGACUUGUGUAAAGUGAAAUGUCACAAACUGCAGCUUCACCUUCGAUAAGUCGGGGGAGGGUUUACUUAAGUUCUGUGGACUUGGACCUUUUGAGUUUGGAAAUUCACCUUUUUCUUGUUGGAAAUAUUUGUUUUUUUCUGCUGCUCAAAUAAACCAAUAACUGUCACUUUGUUGUUGAGUUUUCAUCCUGGUUUUUGACGCUUUUUAUUCCAGAAUCUUGUAGAUUUGGGUAAAGCCAAACUGGAGAAGAUCUGCUCAGUUCAGGAUGAAAAGACUCUUUUUUUUAGAUCAAUAAAAACACUUUAUUUGCUCCAGUGCAUUAGUCAUUUCUUCAACAGCUUCAGUUAUUGCCAUUGAGGUCGUUCUUUUGGACCUAAAACCUCUGACCUUCAUUAUAUGAUGUUUUUCAAGAAACUUUUCAAGUCGAGAAUUGAAAAACUUCUCUAAAUGUUUGAGAACUGAGGCAAAAGAGAGAUUGGUCUGUAGUUUGUAAAAGUGUUUGUUUUCAUUUUUGAAGAGCGGAAUUACUUUAGUGAUUUUCAUUUUACUUGGAAAACAGCCAGUCUGGAAUGACAAGUUACAAAUAUAAGUUAAAGGUUUUACAAUAUUCAGUAUAACUUUUUAAACUAAUGUCAUGUUGAUAUCAUGACAGUCAGUGGAGAACUUACUUUUACACAUCCGCACAAUUUUUGUCACUUCCUGCUCAUUUGUAGCUGAGAGGAAGAAAGACAAAGGAUUUCGUUC